rnacentral:rRNA from 1 species
GCCAGCAGCCGCGGAACACGGCAGCUCUAGUGGUAACAAUUUUAUUGGGCCUAAAGCGUCCGUAGCCGGUUUAAUAAGUCUCUGGUGAAAUCCUGUAGCUUAACUGUGGGAAUUGCUGGAGAUACUAUUAGACUUGAGACCGGGAGAGGUUAGAGGUACUCCCAGGGUAGAGGUGAAAUUCUGUAAUCCUGGGAGGACCGCCUGUUGCGAAGGCGUCUAACUGGAACGGUUCUGACGGUGAGGGACGAAAGUUAGGGGCGCGAACCGGAUUAGAUACCCGGGUAGUCCUAACUGUAAACGAUGCGGACUUGGUGUUGGGGUGGCUUUGAGCUGCUCCAGUGCCGAAGGGAAGCUGUUAAGUCCGCCGCCUGGGAAGUACGGUCGCAAGACUGAAACUUAAGGAAUUGGCGGGGGAGCACCACAACGCGUGGAGCCUGCCGGUUUAAUUGGAUUCAACGCCGGACAUCUCACCAGAGGCGACAGCUGUAUGAUAGCCAGGUUGAUGACUUUGCUUGACUAGCUGAGUAGUGGUGCAUGG